rnacentral:lncRNA from 1 species
CCUAUGAUGUAGCAGAAAAAAAUGACAAACCACAUUCAGAAGAGUAACAAUAUUACAACAUGACCAGCAAUACAAGAACCUUCGCCAUAUUGCGCAAUCCAGAGCAUUAGGCAACCGAAGAUAGCAAUCGACCACCCUUUAGUGCCGCACAUUGCAAGAUUUUUUUUAAUAUAAUAAAAUGCCCGUCAGAAGCCCUCCCGCUGCGGGAUAUUUGAAUGCCCAAGCAAUCUGAGAGUCAGGGCUCCAGAGUGAGGAACCUCCUCACAAUACUCGCCGUCUCAAGAAUCACUGCUUUCUGUAUCCGACCCUUGAUCCAGCAGUUAAGCGAAAGCUUCUUAAGGUGUUGGUUGAUGCUUUUCGCUAUAAGACUGAAACGACUUUCGGAACAAUCUUCCAGCAGAUGACGUCGCUAGACUCCCCGCACCUGAUCUGAUUUUAAUUGGAUGUUUAUAAUGCAAAAUAUUAUUAGAUAUUAUUAAACAUAUACCUACUAAUUUUGAUCCCGGAAAAUCGAUAGUUAUAGUGGGUUUUUUUAAAAACUGUA